CAAAAUGAUUUUUGUUGAGAAUAGUUUAAUGACGUUUACAAUUUUAAUUGUAGCAAUUUUUGUUAUGCCAGUUACUUCGAGUAUUAAAGAAGCAAGAAGUGCAUGUCUAAGCGAAAGUUUUGGUGA